CCUACGGGUGGCAGCAGUGAGGAAUAUUGGUCAAUGGGCGGAAGCCUGAACCAGCCAAGUCGCGUGAGGGAAUAAGGCCCUACGGGUCGUAAACCUCUUUUGCCGGGGAGCAAGGGCGGGGACGUGUCCCGGCCCGGAGAGUACCCGGAGAAAAAGCAUCGGCUAACUCCGUGCCAGCAGCCGCGGUAAUACGGGGGAUGCGAGCGUUAUCCGGAUUUAUUGGGUUUAAAGGGUGCGUAGGCGGGCUUUUAAGUCAGCGGUAAAAAUUCGGGGCUCAACCCCGUCCGGCCGUUGAAACUGGGGGCCUUGAGUGGGCGAGAAGAAGGCGGAAUGCGUGGUGUAGCGGUGAAAUGCGUAGAUAUCGAGAGGAACACUCGUGGCGAAGGCGGGUUCCUGGACAUUAACUGACGCUGAGGCACGAAGGCCAGGGGAGCGAAAGGGAUUAGAUACCCCUGUAGUC
rnacentral:rRNA from 1 species